rnacentral:tRNA from 1 species
AAAUAAGAAGCAAUAUUGCAUUUAAUUUCGACUUAAAAGACAGAGUUAAUUACUCCUUAUUUA